AGUUCGGAAAAGUAGAUACGACGGAGACGUAUCAAAGCCCUUAGUAACGCUCAUUAAGAGCCUCCAAUUGAACUCCUAAUACUUGUUUUAAUUGGACCUUUGUCUCAUCCUGGCAUCCCCUCCCGAAAAAGAUCGACGAUUUCUGCAAGUUAACUCGCUGUCAGGAUGGCUCUUCAUACUUAGUUAGUAUCUCCCUUAGUGCCUCUAUAUUCUCAGUGGAUCCCUCUAGGAAUACUAUGCUAUCAUCGGCAAACAACAAAUGUGUGAUAUGGGGCCCAGUGCUCCCAAAAGACACACCCUUGAUU
rnacentral:lncRNA from 1 species